GACGAACGCUGGCGGCGUGCUUAACACAUGCAAGUCGAACGAAGUGGCGAACGGGUGAGUAACGCGUAAUCAACCUGCCCUUCAGAGGGGGACAACAGUUGGAAACGACUGCUAAUACCGCAUACUGAAGGAGGGGAUUGCGUCUGAUUAGCUAGUUGGAGGGGGAACGGCCCACCCAGGCGAAGAUCAGAAGCCGGUCUGGGGGGAGUACCGGCAACAUGGGGACUGGGACCAGGCCCAGCCGCCUACGGGAGGCCGCAGUGGGGAAUCUUCCGAAAUGGACGAAAGUCUGACGGAGCAACGCCGCGUUGGUGAUGACGGCCUUCGGGUUGUAAAGCUCUGUUAAUCGGGACGCGGUACCGGAAUAGAAAGCCACGGCUAACUACGUGCCAGCAGCCGCGGUAAUUC
rnacentral:rRNA from 1 species